AGAUUGAUUUUUUUUGGCCACACUUGCAGCAUGUGGAAGUUCCCAGGUCAGGGGUCAAACCCCAGGCCACAGCAGCAACCAGAGCCACUGCAGUGACAAUGCUGGAUUCUUAUCCCACUGUGCCACAAGGAACACCUUCUUUUAGACUGACUUUUUAAAUAGGUCAUUAUUUUUAUUUAGACUGAUUUUUUAAAAAAACAACUCCUCUUUAUCUCCACCAUUGGCUUAUUAGCUAUGCCACUUUUUUUUUUCAUUUUUAUAAUAGGGUUUAAAUUUUUAUUUUAUUUAAUUUAUUUAUUUUUUGGAUGUGCCCACAUCAUGCAGAAGUUCCCGGGCUAGGAACUGAACCUGAGCCGCAGCAAUAACUUGAGCCACAGCAGUGACAACUCUGAGUCCUCAACCACUAGGCCACCAGGGAACUUUUACAUUUUAAUUUAACAUUUUAUAGUUUACUUUCAAAUAAUAUUAUAUAUACUUAAAGAUAUUAUAACAAUAUACUUCUACCUCAUCCCUUUCAUUCUUUGUGCUAUUGUUGUCAGAUAUUUUCAUGGGUUUUAAACCUCACAUACACUGAUAUUAUAUUUGUCUUUUAAACAGUCAAUUAUAUUGUAAGGAAAUUGUGAAAAUCUUUGUUCUAUAUAUACUCAUGUAUUUACUAUUUAACUAACCAUACUUAACCUUUAUCAUAUAUUGACCCACAUAGCUACCAUUUCCAAUGGUCUUCAUUCCUUUUAGUAGAUCUGAAUUUCUGUCUGGUAUCAUUUUCCUUCUUUUUUAAAAUUUAUUUUUAUUAAAAAUUUGUUUUCUCCUUCUUGAAUAACUUGCAUUUUUUAUGGCCACACCUGCAAUAUAUGGAGGUUCCCAGGCUAGGGGUCAAAUUGGAGCUGCAGCUGCUGGCCUAUGCCACAGCCACAGCAAUGACAGAUCUGAGUCAUGUCUGUAACCUACACCACAGCUCAUGGCAAUGCUGGAUCCUUAGCCCAUUGAUCUUGGGUAAUUCAUAGAUCACAAAUUAGCUACAAACUCCAGAAGUCCCGUGUAUAGAUAUCUGUAUCUCUAUAUCUCAGUCUCAGUCCCUGUCUCUUUUCUUUUUAAUAUUUUUCCCUGCAAUAUCUAGCUACCCCUCUGAAUCCAAACUCUGAUUUAUCAACUCAGUGAGACCACUAGUCUGUUUGGUUUUCUACCACCUUCUUGUGCUACAGCGUAGAAACUUUUUACACACAAUAAGCAGUAGCAAUAAAAGGGCUAAUGAUAUUUAUUUCCCUUUUCUCAAGGAUCAUUAUCCUUGAUAAGGGAAGGGUAAGGAUCAUUAUCCAUUAUGCUUCCUAUUACCCAAUGUCUGAAAGUUAUUGUUUCAUAUGUCUUUUUUUGUUUUUUAGUUGUUUAAAGUGGGAGGAUAAAUCAAGUCAUUCAUCAUGUCUGGAAGUGGAAGUUCUCUCACCAUUAAUGAUCUAAAUUAGAAGUUGGCAAACUUCAACCAAUGGGCCAAUCCAGUUCACUGCCUGUUUUCUUAAAUAAAGUUUUAUUGGAACACAAAAUAUGACACUUUUAUGUUAUAAUUAGAGAGUUAAUUAGCUGUGACAAAAAUGAGCCUUGUCAGUGACUUCUAAAUUUAUUAUCUAAAUGUAUAUUUCUAUUUAUUCACUUUUUUCCACAAAUUACUUAUUUACCAUGACUGUUAAUCCUAAGACUUUAAUGCUGUAAUUAGAAUCCUGACUACCUCUGUGUUUAAAAAUAUGCCAAAAUAGUUCAUUAGUAAGAAAGGUAUUUUAUUUUAUUUUUUAAUUGGAAGGUAUUUUAAAUUCAACCAAAGGAUGGCAGCAUAAGAUCAAUUACUUAGAGCCUGGUAUCAACAUUCCCUGUUGGUGAGAGAAAUCAAAAUUUCAUGGCAUCUAGUAAUCUAAUAAUAUUGGUCAACAACACAUUAUUACUCUGACCAGCUGGAUUUUUUGUAUAAUGCAUAAGCUUACUAAUCACUCUAAACUCAUUAAGAUACUUUCUGGUUAGUGCUGUUAAAUAUUUCUCUUUUGUGCCUCAACUACUCUAAUGGACAUUUGCUGUUUUCUGGCUAUUCACUGACAUGACCCCUGUCUUUUCUGGGGGCUAUGAGUAAAUAUAUUCUGGCCUCUCUGGCUACUCUUGGAUAUCUUGUGUUUCUGGCCAGACUCCUCAGUGUGAUAUAUCUGGCCUUAAUCCAAACUACUCAGUGCCUCAUUCUGCCCUGGCCUCAGUGAUUAUUUCAGGCAUAGUCAUGUGCCCCAGUGUUCUCAACAAACCUCAUUUUCUGAGCAUAAACUUGCAAAUUAAAUUAACCAUAUUAAUUUAUCUAUCAUGGAAUGCUGGAGUUAGAAGUGAGCUUAAAUAGUAUCUAGUUUCUGCUUCCCUUUCCCUUUCUGAAAAAAUCAAUUCUAAAGCCAAUACAUGGGCAGAACAAGUAAAUACUGCCUGGAAGGGGCAGGGACCCAUAGAGGUGCAGUGUGGAAUGCUAGAGUUCGAAAAGGAUGAGGCAGAUGUUCAUAGGAAGAGAUAACCUGGCACGAGAUUUUGGAGCCUGAGAAGAAUAAGCAGAGUAUCGGUGGUGGGUAGAGUGGGCAGUUGCUGUGAAGAGUUCUAGCCUGAGAGAGGUUAGGAGGGCAAGGUUUCCUAUGGACAGAGAUUCAAAGCACUGAACUGCAAAACAUUUGAAAUUGUAUUUAUUUAUUUACUUACUUACUUAUUUGCUUUUUAGAGCUGUACCUGCUACAUAUGGAAGUUCUCAGGCUAGGGGUCGAAUCAGAGCU
rnacentral:lncRNA from 1 species